AUCUUUGCGCUUGGGGCAAUGACGCAGCUAAUGAGGUAUUAACCGAGGCGCGUCUAUUGCUGGUUGAAAACUAUUUCCAAACCCCCUCCUAGGCCUAAGCUUGUCUUGGGCCUCUGAGAAUUUCUGGAAGAGCUCCCUUUGGGGUAAAGCU
rfam:Arabidopsis thaliana chromosome 5, complete sequence.